rnacentral:rRNA from 1 species
GACGAACGCUGGCGGCGUGCCUAAUACAUGCAAGUCGAACGCUUCUUUCCUCCCGAGUGCUUGCACUCAAUUGGAAAGAGGAGUGGCGGACGGGUGAGUAACACGUGGGUAACCUACCCAUCAGAGGGGGAUAACACUUGGAAACAGGUGCUAAUACCGCAUAACAGUUUAUGCCGCAUGGCAUAAGAGUGAAAGGCGCUUUCGGGUGUCGUUGAUGGAUGGACCCGCGGUGCAUUAGCUAGUUGGUGAGGUAACGGCUCACCAAGGCCACGAUGCAUAGCCGACCUGAGAGGGUGAUCGGCCACACUGGGACUGAGACACGGCCCAGACUCCUACGGGAGGCAGCAGUAGGGAAUCUUCGGCAAUGGACGAAAGUCUGACCGAGCAACGCCGCGUGAGUGAAGAAGGUUUUCGGAUCGUAAAACUCUGUUGUUAGAGAAGAACAAGGACGUUAGUAACUGAACGUCCCCUGACGGGAUCUAACCAGAAAGCCACGGCUAACUACGU